rnacentral:siRNA from 1 species
UCUGAAAUCUGUGUAGAUAUGGUC